rnacentral:lncRNA from 1 species
GCUAGGCUACGAUUGGGUCCCUAAGAGCCAGAAUGACACCCUACUACUCACAUAGUGAGUUGUAGUGCGAAAUGUAGGCUCAAAGAACAAGAAAUUUUUAGGGACAAAAAUUUCGGGGUGUUAUAUUCUCCCUCCUUAGGAACAUUCAUUCUUGAAUAAUGAGACAAGGUAUCCUUUAGCAUGAUUUAAAAUAGUAACACACC